rnacentral:lncRNA from 1 species
UGCAGCGCAGACCCUCCGCGGCCCCGGGCCGAGGGAGGCACGCUAGGCCCUUCCGGUCCGAGCCGCCGUCGCCGGGAGGCCGGGCGACAAGCCGGGCGACGGGCCGGGCUUCCACCCGAGCCCGGGGAUUCGCGGCCUACCCUCGCCGGUGCCCUCUCGCUGACUCCGACACCGGCAGUUCCUCCGCCUCGGCCCCUUCGCCUGAGGUUACGGAAAAGGAGCCUGGCCGGGGAUUCGCCCGGAGGCCGAGCUCCCGGGACUCCCCCUCCUCCUUCCCGCCUCCCUCUGGGUCUUCUGCCCCCACCCCAACUCUGCAAGGCCACAGCGCCGGUCUUCCGCGGGGUUCUUAGGGCCUCGGAGCAGAUGGCCUUUGUCAGAGGCUGUUCAUCACUUUCCUGCGAAAAUGACGAGAAACUCUGAAGUAUUCACAUUGGAUUUGUCUGUCGAGACUAGAUGGUUGAGCAGCUAAUAAGCUACUGACAUCCAGGUAAGCACUGUCUUCUGUGAAGUCUCCUUCAUAAGCUCUUAGGAGCCAACCAUUUCGUUGGCCUU